rnacentral:sRNA from 1 species
AUCAACAGUCUUUUCCAGAACUCUGUCUGCACUGAGACCCUCUUCCCCCAGUCCUCUUCUCGCGGUCGACUCCUUCCCAUCCGUGGCGACAGAACGGCGGUUACAGGAGAGGCCCCGGUCCCUCGCCGCGCCGCCCCGAGGGGCACUUCCGGCGGCGGUUCACUUCCUGGUUUAAACUUACACGAAUCGCUUUCUGGAGGAGGAGGGGACCCGCCGCGCGAUUGACACGCAUAUUCCUAUAGGCAUCCUCCCUCAGCCCCCACCCCCACGGCCGGAUUCGGGUGGCUCCUCUCCGAGGUGAAAUCCGAGAAGAAAUCCUUGGAUCUCUUUUCUUUAAAAAAAAAAAAAAAAAAAAAAAAAUCUAGAAACCAUCGGUAUUUUGCUUUGCUGCUCCCUAUUCGCAAGAUGAAGAAGUUUUUCGACUCCCGGCGAGAGCAGGGCGGCUCUGGCCUGGGCUCCGGCUCCAGCGGAGGAGGGGGCAGCACCUCGGGCCUGGGCAGUGGCUACAUCGGAAGAGUCUUCGGCAUCGGGCGACAGCAGGUCACAGUGGACGAGGUGUUGGCGGAAGG